AACGUUUGACAUCCCUAUCGCGGAUCGUGGAGACACUUUCCUUCAGUUCGGCUGGAUAGGUGAC
rnacentral:rRNA from 1 species